rnacentral:lncRNA from 1 species
CCACUAACAACUAGAAAUACUACUGUAUCUCCAACUUUGAUAAGAAUGAGUGAUACUCAAUAUAAGUCUAUAAUAACAAAAGAAUACUCAAGAUACUAAAAGAAUGACUAUGGAGCGACUCUAAGAGUUCAAAGAAAAGACCAUAACAAUAAAUAAAAUCUCCGCCCACGCGAACAAGUGCGAGGCUCAUCAAGAACUAUCAACCCGUGCGCUCUAAUUAACGAAAUCCUCGCCCGCGUCAACUGCUGUCUCUGUAAAAAAAAAUUAGCGGGGAAUGAGUCGCUAUCUCAGUGAGUAAUAACACUUAAACCACAACCGUUUUUAUUGGCGACAAGUCAGAAAACAUGCUAGUAUAUAUUUUAAACAGAAAAUAUCAUAAGAAUGCACUUUCAGAAACAAUAAAUAAUAAUCAGUAUCAUUAUGUUUUUCAUGUAAUAUAAAUCAAUUGACAAUUCGGUAAUAAGCUCGGUAAAUACUGUGUAAUAUCAAUAUUCAUGUUUGGGAGGUUUCAAUAAAUGGAUCAUGUAAUCGGUAUAACUGUGGACUUCUUCGCAAGAAGUCAAAUAUAAUGGUAGUCCCUAUUCGAUGGAAAAUCGGUAACGGUAUGCUAGUUCUACCUACUCGAGGGAAAUCAGGUCUAACGAACCCGCCGUUAGCUACGGGAUCCUUCAAAGUCUACUUCCAUUUAUACUUGUCUUUGUAAAUCCGUAUAUACUCAUAAGAAAAUAUUUUAAAACAAUAUAGAAAAUUUCGGUUCUUAUCAAAUCAUGUAAUUUUAUUUCGAUAACCGUAAAUUCAAGUAACGGUAAAACAUAUUUAGUGACAACACGAAUAUUUAAAAUAACGGUAAUCAUCUCAAAUAACUAUUUCGGUAUCAUAUCGAGUAAAAGACUUGUCCCACAUGCAACUCAAAAUAAUCGGUAACAUAUUCAUAUUAAAAAUCAAGUGUAAAUCAUGCAAGUUAUGAAAACACAAAUUGCGGUAAGAUUACUACUCACAGUACUCGUGCCGAAAUACCAAAUCCUUUACCUCGAGCAAUUCGUACAAAUUCCUCCAAUUAAUCUAUAAUUACAUAAUAUCGAUCUCGUGUUAAUUUCCUUGUUUAGGCUUAUUCAUAGCUAAUUUAGAAUACCCAACCCUCGAGGUUUCAUAAUUGACUCUUAAUUCGCCGAAUUAUACUUACCCACAUAUGAGUAAUUACUAAUCUAUCAACUCCAACCUAUUCAUAUAAUUUAUUAAUCCAAUUUCAUAAAGUUCUAUCGAUUCUUUAGGAAGAAAAUUCUCAAUUGUGUGAAUGACUAGUGUAAUUUCUAUUACUUUGUAGAAUCUUCCAAUCAUGAGAAUCGAAAUUAAAAUCUAGCAGAAGAAGAAGAAACUCAAGUAAUACCCGUAAGACACAAUCAGUGCUUAAGAUUCCUCAACAAUUAUACCUAUUGUUCCAACGCACUGCAUCAUCAGCUAGUUCCUCCUUCUUUUCUCUUUUCUUUCUUUCCUUCUCUGUUCGUUUUUUGUUUUUUCGUUUCUCUGAAGCUUUUGCUUCGUUCCCCUUCCCCCAACCCUUUUC